ensembl:misc_RNA Y_RNA Y RNA
GUCCGGUCUGAGUACGAUGGUGUUUACAACUAAAUGAUCACAACCACUUACGGAUUUAUUUGUUUCUUUUUUACUCCCACUGCUUCACUUGACCAGCCUUAA